GUGCUCGCUUCAGCACCACAUAUACUAAAAUUGACAAGAUACACAGAGAUUAGCAUGUCUCCUGCACAAGGAUGACACGCAAAUUCAUGAAGCAUUCCAUAAAAAA